rnacentral:rRNA from 1 species
AUGGCCCCCUCCGCCGGCGACGCCGCCGCCGUUCCGCGGUACCCUGCUUGGGUUCUCCUCGAAAAGGAGGGGUACGACGACGACCGCGAUGACGCCACCAGCGCUUCGUGCAAGACGACCGCCGGCCGCGACGUCAAGUUGGGCUUCUACCUCGUGCCCCCGCCGGAGAUCUCCUACUUCCACGUCCACCUCUCCAAGCUCGAGGGCGAGGACGAGGACGACUUCGACUUCACGCCCCUGUUUCUCUUCUCGGCCAAGGGCCUCGUCCUCUUCCGUAUCCUCUUCGUCACAGGAAGCGACGGAAGCAAUCUCGUCGAGUACUUCAUCUACAAGGCCGGGCGCGGCGGCGGCCCGUCGCUCGAACCCAUCCCGCCGACUCCUCUAGGCAGCAGCAGUGAUUCGGUGUCCGUGAGCAUCGUCCCCUGCCCCGACGGCGACGACGGCGAGGACAGCUACGUCCUCGCCGAUCUCUCUGUGGGGAGUGAAAUUGGGCUCUACGACCUCCACAUUUACUCGUCCAAGACGCGCGAGUGGAACACCACACCGUUGCAGCUGCCGGCGUCUCCUGCCGUCAGGACAAAUGACGACCUGCCCUGUCAAUUCCACAAGGCUAUCGGGCUUGCAGCGGACGAGGUAGGCUGGGUAGACCUCUGGCGUGGCAUUGUCACCUGCAAGGUGCUUGAUAAAGACCCACUUCUCCGACUCAUCCCUCUUCCCAAACCGCACGUGGACAUCCUGCAAGGCGAACCGGGGUUGAUCCGGGAUGUCACCUACUGUAAUGGGCUCUUCGAGUUCGUUGAGAUGCAACUUUUUUGCAGACCAGUUAAUGUUGUUAGUAGUAUCAUCCAUGAUUCCAGGCCCCUCCUUGGUCUUGUAGUGGAUGAAGGUAUUACGGUCCCUGAUGGUUGGGUCAUCCGGACAUGCUGUAGGGUUGAUCCAUCGGACUUUCGGUUCAGGGCAUACACUGUUCAUGUUGAUGACUUCGCAGUGGAUUCUACUAUAUCGUUCCCUCAGAUGUGGGAUGCUUGUGCUCACGACAAGGAAUCGACAUUUAGGAACCUGACAACACAUUGCCCGACCUUUGGCGUUCCUGGUGACAGACUUGUCUACCUGCUAUCCAAGGUGAAAAUGGAUGAUGACAACACAUGGAUUGUUGGUGUUGACCUUGCCAAGAAGAUGGUGAAACUAAUUCAACCCUGUGAUGACUUGGGAUAUGCCUGUAUCCGACCAGCCUUUGUUCCCUCUACAUUCUCCUAUUAUCUGAAUACAAAUGCAGGUAAUUUUUCACCCACAUUGAUAAACCACUCAGAGAAGACUGCCAACAAUGCAAAAGUCGAUGGCGAUGGCGAUUCCUGUGUACGUGAAAUAAAUAUACAUCACGACCAAAGGUCAUGGGUUGGGGACGAAACAUCUGCACCAAGCGGAGCUUGGAAUUCUGGGGAGAACAAUCUGACACUGAAUCAUGAAUCUGCUGAUGUACAACGGACCAGGUUACUACAGGACUUGGAUUCCAUUUUGUUUGCAUCAGGAUCAGGGUAUAUUCCGAUGAAACAAGAACUGGAAACUGAUGCUGAUGGCAAUUCAUGGCUCUCUUUGCCACUGGAAGACCUCUUGUCACUGCUUCCACAACUAGGACCUGAUAUUGCAUCCUUGACAAGAAUUCUGUCUUGGCAU